AUUCAUAAUUGUGCGCAUGUAGGUGUGCACGCAUACAUAUAUACAUAUCUAUGCAUGUUACAGUGUACUGGUUGAUGGCAAAGGACAGUUUAUAGGAGUCAGUUCUUUCCUUUUGCCAUGUGGGACCCAGGGACCAAGCUCAGUCAGUCAGGCUUGGUGGCCUGCCUUACCCACAGACCAUCACACAGCUUCCGACACAGCCAGGUCUGCGUGAGGCUAGCCCUUGGCAGAGGCCCCCCAGUGGCACUGUGGUUAAGCAGCCUAUGGCCUCUGCUUCUGUGUGGUUUUAAGUGUCUUCCUAUAGAGUCCUACUACACUGUCUGCGGGAAAGCUUAGGCAAGGAGGACGCUCUGGUUCAGUGUUCCUGCGGCCUACAUGAUACAUCUGUUAUGGAAUUUAUCACCAGGAAGAGGCUCUUGGCAACUGGCAUGGUGUUGUCAUCCGCUAGAACUCUACAGUAACCCGCUUUAGGCCUUUGUUUUGUCUUGACCCCAGAAAGCUCUCGCUAAGUAAUCGAAGUUCUGAGAGGCACCGUAUCCUCCUCCUUCCUCCAGGCUCCUGGGCCUGUGUGGCCCCCUUUCCGGGUAUUUAGUCUGUAACACCCCCAUGACAUGGCAGAUUGAACAGGCUUUAUGCUGUUGUAGUGCUGACACAGGAAGAUACACUGCAGUUGUGUGCUUCAAAGGAACCCAUGAGAAUAGGCUGCCGUCCUAAGUUCACAGACCCAGGAAGCACAUGGGGCCACGGGCCAAGUGAAGACCACCUGAAGAUGGGCCUCUGUGUGCGCGCCAUGGCCCGGACUAGUUCUCUACCUCUGGAUAUCUGCACUGCUUUCUGAAGGCAGCUGUGGGAGCUCCGCCAGCAGGUGGGUGCUGGAGCCAAUAUAGCUAAGCCAGAGGAGCCUCGGCACUGACCAGAGACCACAGAGCGGGCCUGGGUCGUUGUCUUCCUAGGAUUCCUGGGAAUCUGGGAUGAGCAAGAUCAGCAUGGGUUAAAUCUUCAUCUUCAGUAGGGCAGGCAGUGUGGCCAUGGGGAAGCCCCGAUGAACCCUGAGACUCUGGAUGAAGGUCUAUCGGGAUCAGCAUGGGUUAAAUCUCCAUCUUCAGCAGGGCAGGCAGCAUGGCCAUGGGGAAGUCCCGAUGAACCCUGAGACUCUGGAUGAAGGUCUGUCGGGAUCAGCAUGGGUUAAAUCUCCAUCUUCAGCAGGGCAGGCAGCGUGGCCAUGGGGAAGCCCCGAUGAACCCUGAGACUCUGGAUGAAGGUCUGUCGGGAGAAAUCUUACAGCAGUGCAAAGCGCAGCACAAGGCGCAGGCUAGCAGUCCCUCUUACCUACAUCUUGGCGAUGUCCAAAGAGCUACCGGCUCACCUGAUGUUACUGACUCAGACACAGGGCUACAAUGAGAGACAGUUUAAGGAUGCCACCAGGGGCAUUGACCCUGGCUGAUCUCAGAAGCCUGCUUUCUGUUGCCAGGAAGAGCUGGCAAGAUCCCCAAGGUGGGCAGGUGGCACUCAGGCAGAUAUAGACAGAGCUGUUCUAGUUCGGUAUUCAUGUAAAGGUUUCCCAGAGUCCAUGCUAUGCUGGAAGUGUCUUUUACUCAGGAUCUACAUGAUAAAAUAUGGAUCAAAUAAAAUCUGAGAUUUCUCCCCAGGCCCACCUGAAGGCUCAAUUGGGAAGUUCUCCAGAAAACGAAUUAUAGAGAAAAGUUAUUACAAACCUAGAGACAACAGUACCAGUACCCUCUCCUCUCCCUAGGCCAACUCCACCCAUCCUUCCAGGCCCUGCUCCCGGGUAUAAAGACAUCACAGACCAAAGUGGUUUCUUGACCCCAAUUAUGACUGCAGUUAUCCCUUAGGCUUCCAGUGCUGAGCCUUUUCCUGUCAGUGGUGGACAGAUAAACUUAGGAUAAUGGGUUGCAACCCAAACCUUUAUUAGCAAAAUAAACAUUUCCAGGACAUGGGGGUUGCAGUCAGAACAUAGCUCUGGGUUAUUUGCAUAGAUGGAGUUUCCCCUGAGGUAUCCUCCUUUUCCCAAGGAGCAAGCCUCAGAACACUGCCUUCUUGGCCUUUCUUAUCAGAGUCCUUUCCAGUAGCCACAGAAUUCUGGCUAUACCCAUGCCAGCCCCUACCUGUGGCCAAGAUGGCCACCCACCCAGCCCUGUGCAGUGGUAGAGCCCCCUCCCUGGUUGGGUUGCAGACAGACAAAUACUAGAAUUCAGUGUGUGAAGGAGGUGCACAAGGAGAAAUGAAUUUCAACUUCCUUCAUUCACAUGCAGGAGACAGGAAAUCCCCAGAGCAAGGGGGCAUCCUGAAGGGAUGGAUUUUCUUAGUAUAGACAGAAGACAGCAUGGUGGGCAGGAAAGAAGGCUCAAUGGCUAGAGCACUUUCUGUUCUUCGAAAAGACACAAAGUUGGUUCCCAGCACCCACACUGAAAUAAGUACUUCAGUGAUCCUGUAAGUUCAGAUCAGGGGAUUUGAUGCCUAUUUCUGGUCUCCACAGACAUCUACACAUAUACACACACAGAUUUAAUUUUUUUUUCUGAAAAAAAAAAAAGACAGCAUAGAAAAUGUUACUCUUUUAUUAUUUCAAGGAGGUAAUACAUAGCCCAGUACACCAAAGCAAUAGGGAAUCAGAGGCAGCAAAUGGCCAGUGGUUUUGGGACAAGCCUCAUGCUGCACCUCCCAGCUCCUGUCUGCCUCACAGCCUGGGACGGUGACACGAGCUUGCUAUGACUGUAGCAGUGGAUGGACGACCAAACUCAGCACCCUACGGACUGAGGGGCAGUUCCAGGAGUCAACAUCCAUCCACAGAAAGUGCCCGACCACCUGCGGCUACUGUGUGGCAGCAGCCAGCUUGCCUAGCAGUUGACUCUGUCUCAGAGCCUGGAGUGGACAGGGCGGGGACAGAUCCUCAGUGAUCAGUUAAGGUGAAGCCUUAGUAGUGUUAACACCCUGGAUGAGGGAAGUCAGCGCUGUCCUGGAGGGCUGAGCGGGAGGAAGAAAGGAGCCUGGGCCGCAGCACACCGGAGGAGGGCCUCUCCUGGGACAUGAUGGGGAGAGGCUGGGGCUGGGCAUGGGAAGCAGCUUCCUCUGGCAAGGAGUUGACCUAGAGGUUGGUUUUCCACUCAUAAUUGGUUACCUGGGUGUAGUCAUCAUACCAAGGACAAAACAAGUCUUGCUCAUACCAAACAUGGCCUCGGAGAGAGAUGUGACUCGUUUCUCCCCAGGUUGUGGGGAGGGCUCAAUCUAAGACCCUCCUCAUUCCCAGCCCCUGUCCUCUGCGAUGACUGGGGUGAAAGAGACAAACAUAAAUAUGCCCUUCUGGAGCCCAGUGCUCGGUUCCAGCGAGCUCAUACUGGCUGGACCCACAGCCCCACCCUUGUACGGAGCUGACAUGUAUACCAGAGAGGAUGCCCAUCUGGUGACUGAAUGGUGGUGUGUAGGUGGAGUCACAGCAGUGGCUGGGAUGCGGAGAUGCUCAGAGAUGCUCGCAGAUGCCUUCCAUUUCAGCACUGCGGGCCUGGCUGCUGGGGGUGGGGAGGCUGCUGCUUCCCAGCAUGCACUGCUCUCCAACCCAGCUUGCUACUUCGGCUCCCAGAGUUUUGUUUGGUUUGACAGGUAUGAAAAUAAUUUUAAAAAUCACACCAUGGUAGAUUCCAACCCAGAGCUGAUGGCUUUGUUUUGUUUGACAGGAAAGGACAAAGAAACCACAACUCCACAGUGGCCAAGGCUCAAGUAGCACAGAGCGUGCUAUACACCCAAACGGAGAAACCUUGUCGUCAUGAUGGGGGAGCUGGGGGAGCCAUGGGUCCUCUAGUCGGAGGCAGGAUCUGAGGUCACCUCAUCUUCACAUUCCUCAAAGCCCGGGACUGGCUUCUGCAGAAAGUAUGUGGUGGCCUGGAUUACCUUGUCA